rnacentral:rRNA from 1 species
AACGAACGCUGGCGGCAGGCUUAACACAUGCAAGUCGAACGCACCGCAAGGUGAGUGGCAGACGGGUGAGUAACGCGUGGGAACGUACCCUUCAGUUCGGAAUAACCCAGGGAAACUUGGGCUAAUACCGGAUACGUCCGUAAGGAGAAAGAUUUAUCGCUGAAGGAUCGGCCCGCGUCGGAUUAGCUAGUUGGUGAGGUAACGGCCCACCAAGGCGACGACGGGUAGCUGGUCUGAGAGGAUGGCCAGCCACAUUGGGACUGAGAAACGGCCCAGACUCCUACGGGAGGCAGCAGUGGGGAAUCUUGCGCAAUGGACGAAAGUCUGACGCAGCGACGCCGCGUGGGGGAGUGAAGGC